rnacentral:lncRNA from 1 species
GUCAGGGGUGCAUGGAGAGGAGGGGCAUAUGUGGGAGGAGGAAGGAGUCCAAGGCACUCGAGGUGCAUUAACCAUGAAGCUAGAGAAACACAUCUUUUCGGGUUCCUAGUUCGGCUGGACCUCUGCAGGAAAAACAACAACAACAACAACAACAACAACAACAACAACAAAAAACAAGUUUUAUUCUAACAAUCAGAGUUCCAGCAAUGUUUUCCUAGGGAUUCAUCUUGCCGUGAGCUGGCUCUAAUUGAGGUUGGACAGUAAGCACUGGAGAAACUGGGGCCGUGGCCGUGGGAGUUGUGGGGAAGUUUAAACCUAGAAACGUACCUAGGAGCGGCAGGGAUGUAGGCACUGGCAUAAAGCAUAAGGAUGGAUACACCCUCCUGGACAAAACCUGCUUGAAACCUAUUAGUACUUUAAAAAGGAACAGGGCCAGGACAGGAGUACAGAUACACAAACAGGACAACCUUAGUGGAAUGAGUCAAAAGCUAGCCAGCUUGUUGUCAACCCCCGUUAGCACCGAUCGAAAGGAGAGACGCCUCCUCAACUGGGGUUCGAAGCUGUGA